ACAGGCUUUCAUGUUAUUUAUGUCAAAUUCUAACGCUACCAUUUGAAUGUUGCAGCAUAAUACUGGAAUAUUUUACCCAAGUGCAUAGAUUUGGCAUGGACGGAAGGGACAUGUCCCCACCAAUAUCCAGCGAUUAUUGAAUUGUCCCCACCAAUAAUUUGAUCUCUUCGAGUAAAGAAAAACAAACCCGAUAGAAAGAGAGAGAGAAAAAAAGAUCUGUCAACGUCUCAUUAACCUAGAGGUGCAGAAAGAGUUAAAUUACGUUCUCUAGUGGAGUCCUACCUCAUGUGACAAAUAUGGCCACUGUGAUUGGCUGUGCCUUUCAGGGAGCUCGGUUUAGUUUUAUCAGCGGAAAGCCUGCGCUGCGAGGAGGAGAGGAGGAUGGCAGCACAAAGGAAGAACCUGGAUAUAAGAAAGUAUUUUUCAAAGAAACCUGUGACAGAAGAACCAACACAAAGCUCAGAGAGUAAUGGUGAUACAAGAUCACAGGUGGAAUUGGAUGAUGACUUGUUGGUUCAUUACUGUAUUUGAAGCACAUGUGUGACUGCAUGUAUUUGGAAUGUCUCACUGUUAUUUAUCAGGUGACAGAGGCAGCUCUGCCAUGUUGUAGCUCGGACAGAGGUGAAGAGGCGAGGUCACAGGUGACUGACUGAUGUGUUGGUGCCAUAGAUUAACGAGAGGAGAAGGCAUGUGUUUGGCUCCUUCACGUAGUGGCCAUUGAGUUGUUGUGGUGGACACCAGUAGUCCAUGUCUGUUGCUGUAACAGUAGGUCAUGUUUAGAAUAAAAAAUCCCAGCUCACUGAUUUGAUAGGGGCAACAGUGCGCCUAAAAUGUUGCAUAAUUUUGCUGAAAGAUCUUUUACUUUGUGGUAAUCUUAGAUGAGUAGUUUUAUGGACAAAAACCACCAGGUCAUUCAGUGUUCCCUGAAGUUAAGUAAUUAUGCAAAUGUACUGUUUAUAAGAUUGGGGAAACCUGCAGUCAGCUGAGACUGAAGAAGUCACUUGGAUGAGUGACAAAAUGUUUCUCCCACAAAACGCUACGUCCAGAUGAACAGAAUCAACUUUUGGAAAAUUAAUUACCUGGAUGAUUGAGCAUGCAUCAAGACGAUAUAACUGAAGUAAUGUUCUUAAGUCCUUAAAGUCAUAUUCUUUUAUUGUCAUGACUGUAUUUGAAGCUAUUUUUAUUUUUGUAUGAUACCUGAUUUAUAUGGAAUAUGGCUGAAGUAAACUAAAGCCUAAAAUACUUAGUCAGUCAUUUGUUUAAUAGUAAUUUAACAUUAUAUAAUUCACAUAUAAAACUAUGAAUUGUAAUUUUAAAUGGUUUAAAAGCAUGUAGAAUAGCAUAUGUAAGCAAGUAUAUUUCUCCUUUUUUUUAUUAUCAAGAAGCAAAGACAAAAAGGAAAAAAAAAAGAAACAGGGCAGGGUUCGGUGGUUGAAUCAUCCGUCCCCACCAAUGCCAAAACCAAAUCUACGCCUUUGCUUUUACCACUGACAGUUAAAUCCUGCUGAUGAUUCCAUGUUAUGAAAAGGAGUUUGACAGAAGCUAUAGCUGGAAGUAAAAUUAAGAUUGAAGACAUUUCCUUAGUGGGGACUGUCUGCAGUCAUAGUUGAGGUGCAAACACAUACAAACCUGUCCUCUUUGUAAGAAGUUACGUUUGUUAAAGAAUCCACCCUCUAAAUUAGCCUUAAGGAACUUGUGUGAGUCUUUCUUACUGGAGAGAGAUCAGAUAUCUUCUGCAGAGUCUGAGGAUGUCUGCAGUCUGUGCCAGGAGAAACUCAAAAGCUUCUGUUUGAAACAUCAGCCCCGUAAAUUCAGACAUACUGGAGAAGUUUCAUCCACAGCAGGGCUCAGGAGGUCCGACAGAUGUGCCCAAUGUGGGCAUCCUGAGUUACAAUAUCUCGAAAAGGCAACCCCCCAAAAUCCAACAUCAGACACUGUUCAUGUGCUGUAGGUAGUUUUUAGGUCCAUAGCUACUUCUUUUUUCCUCUACUUGUUGAAUAUCCUCCAUUUUUUCAAGGACACACAUCAGAGCUAGAUAAAAUAAUGCUGGUAUAAAAGUGCUUGUUUCUUUGGCAGCCUUACAGGUUUUUGGAAGAAAUGAUGUGUUUUUGCGCCAGGCCGUUGUUAACAAAGAGCCUAAAGAUUUAAAAGGUUUUUCUUUUUUUGUUUUCCUUAGUUGUCUGUUAUGUGCAGACACAACACUGGUUCUUCUCUUAAGAGCAUUUUUUUACAGUUCCAUAUAUAUUUAGACACACAUUUUGUUUUUUUACUUGUUUACGGAAACAUAUUCCAAUUACAGUUAUUUAAUGAACAUGAACAUAGUCUGUAGAUUCUCAGCUUUCUUUUGAGGGUAUCAAUACUCAAAUUGAAUGAAGAGCUUAAGAGUUUCAGCUCCUUAACAUGUGCCAACCUCUUUUUAAAGGGACUAAAAGUAACUGGACAAGUGACUUCAAGGCUAUUUCAUGGGCAGGUGUGGGCAAUUCCUUCAUUAUGUCAUUAUUAAUUAAGCGGAUAAAAGGUCUGGGGUUGAUUUGAAGUGUAGUGCUUCAAUUGGGAAGAUUUUGCUGUGAACAGACAACAUGCGGUUACAGGAGCAGGUGCCCAAAGCACCAAAAACACACAGUUAAAGCACCCCAAGAGUUUAUUAAAGCAAAGAAGUGGAAUAUUGUUGAAUGGCCAAGUGAGUCACCGGUUCUUAACCCAACUGAGCAUUUCACUUGUUGAAGACUAAACUUUGGGCAAAAAGGCUUACAAACAAACAGCAACUGACAGCUGCUGCAGUAAAGGCGUGGCAGAGCAUUAGAAAGGAGGAAACCAAGCAUCUGGUGAUUUCCAUGAAUCCAAGACUUCAGGCUGCCAUUGCCAGUGAAGGCAUGGCAGCCUGAACCAAGUAACAAAGCGGACAUUUUAUUUUCAGGCAUUUAAUUUGUCCAAUUACUUUUGAGCCCCUGAAAUAAAGGGAUUGUGUUAAAAAUGCUUCAGUUCCUCACAUUUUAUGCAAUGUUUUGUUCAACCCACUGAAUUAAAGCUGGAAGCUGCACUUUAACUGCAUCUGACUUGUUUAAUUUAAAAUUCAUUGUGAUAAUGUACAGAAACAAAAUUAGAAAAAAGUUGUCUCUGUCCAAAUAUUAAUGGACCUAACUGUAUGAAUUAAUGAUUCAUAGGUGGUCUGCAGUUAAGUGUAUCAACAAGCAAAAAAAAAAAAAAAGCAUUGUUCUUUUUACAAAAAUCUCCUUUUAUUGGAUU
rnacentral:lncRNA from 1 species